UACGGUAGGUGGCAAGCGUUGUCCGGAAUUAUUGGGCGUAAAGCGCGCGCAGGUGGUUCCUUAAGUCUGAUGUGAAAAGCCCCACGGCUCAACCGUGGAGGGUCAUUGGAAACUGGGGAACUUGAGUGCAGAAGAGGAAAGUGGAAUUCCAAGUGUAGCGGUGAAAUGCGUAGAGAUUUGGAGGAACACCAGUGGCGAAGGCGACUUUCUGGUCUGUAACUGACACUGAGGCGCGAAAGCGUGGGGAGCAAACAGGGA
rnacentral:rRNA from 1 species